UACGGAGGGUGCAAGCGUUAUCCGGAUUCACUGGGUUUAAAGGGUGCGUAGGUGGGUCUGUAAGUCUGUGGUGAAAUCUCCGAGCUUAACUUGGAAACUGCCAUGGAUACUAUAGGUCUUGAAUACUGUGGAGGUUAGCGGAAUAUGUCAUGUAGCGGUGAAAUGCUUAGAUAUGACAUAGAACACCAAUUGCGAAGGCAGCUGGCUACAUAAAUAUUGACACUGAGGCACGAAAGCGUGGGGAUCAAACAGG
rnacentral:rRNA from 1 species